rnacentral:rRNA from 1 species
AUUGAACGCUGUCGGCAGGCCUAACACAUGCAAGUCGAACGAGUGGCGGACGGGUGAGUAAUGUCUGGGAAACUGCCUGAUGGAGGGGGAUAACUACUGGAAACGGUAGCUAAUACCGCAUACCAUCGGAUGUGCCCAGAUGGGAUUAGCUAGUUGGUGGGGUAAAGGCCUACCAAGGCGACGAUCCGUACCUGGUCUGAGAGGAUGAACAGUCGCACUGGAACGGAGACACAAUCCAGACACCUACAGGAGGCAGAAGGGGAGGAAAUUGAACAGGGGGAGCAAGCCUGGUGCAGCCAUGCCGCGUAUAUGAAGAAGGCCUGCGGAUUGUAAAGUACUUUCAGCGAGGAGGCAUUAAACGCAGAAGGAGCACCGGCUAACUCCGUGCCAACAGACGCGGUAAUUC